rnacentral:rRNA from 1 species
GGGCACGUUAUCGGCAUACUUGGGCGUAAGCGUGUGUAGGCGGUUCGUAAAGAAUGAUGUGAAAUCCCAGGGCUCAACCUUGGAGCUGCAUUUUUAACUGCCGAGCUAGAGUAUGUCAAAAGGGGGUAGAAUUCCACGUGUAGCAGUGAAAUGCGUAGAGAUGUGGAGGAAUACCGAUGGCGAAGGCAACCCCCUGGGAUGAUACUGACGCUCAGACACGAAAGCGUGGGGAGCAAACAGGAUUAGAUACCCUGGUAGUCCACGCCCUAAACGAUGUCAAGCUAACUGUUGGGGCCGUUCCGCUUCAUUAGCGCAGCUAACGCGUGAAGUUGACCGCCUGGGGAGUACGGUCGCAAGAUAAAAACUCACAGGAAUUGACGGGGACCCGCACAAGCGGUGGAUGAUGUGGAUUAAUUCUAUGCAACGCGAAAAACACUUACCUACCCUUGACAUGUCUGGAAAACCGAAGAGAUUUGGCCGUGCUCGCAAGAGAACCGGAACACAGGUGCUGCAUGGGUGUCGUCAGCUCGUGUCGUGAGAUGUUGGGUUAAGUCCCGCAACGAGCGCAACCCUUGUCAUUAGUUGCUACGCAAGAGCACUCUAAUGAGACUGCCGGUGACCAACCGGAGGAAGGUGGGGAUGACGUCAAGACCUCAUGGCCCUUAUGGGUAGGGCUUCAGACGUCAUACAAUGGUCGGGACAAAGAGUCGCCAACCCGCGAGGGGGAGCUAAUCUCAUAAACCCAAUCGUAGUCCGGAUCGCAGUCUGCUACUCUACUGCGUGAAGACGGAAUCGCUAGUAAUCUCGGAUCAGAAUAUCACGGUGAAUAGGUUCCCGGGUCUUGUACACACCGCCCGUCACACCAUGGGAGUGGGUUCACCAGAAGUAGGUAGCCUAACCACAAGGAGGGCGCUACCACGGUGGGAUCAUGACUGGAUGAAGCGUAAGGGUUAACCGAAAAACCCGAAAAUUUGU